rnacentral:rRNA from 1 species
CCUUGGCGGUCUCAGAGAGUUUGAUUAUGGCUCAGGAUGAACGCUGGCGGCGUGCCUAAUACAUGCAAGUCGAACGAGGGUGCUUGCACCCUAGUGGCGAACGGGUGAGUAACACGUAGGUAACCUGCCUUUUAGCUUGGGAUACCCAGAGGAAACUUUGGCUAAUACCGGAUAACAACAGAUGAGGCAUCUCAACUGUUUGAAAGGCCCUUAUGGGGUCACUAAAAGAUGGACCUGCGGCGCAUUAGCUAGUUGGUGAGAUAACAGCCCACCAAGGCGAGGAUGCGUAGCCGACCUGAGAGGGUGAUCGGCCACAUUGGAACUGAGACACGGUCCAAACUCCUACGGGAGGCAGCAGUAAGGAGUUUUCGGCAAUGGGGGAAACCCUGACCGAGCAACGCCGCGUGAGCGAAUGACGGCCCUAUGGGUUGUAAAGCUCUGUUGUGAGGGACGAACUGUAAGCUUAGGAAAUGAAGCUUACCUGACGGUACCUUACCAGAAAGCCACGGCUAACUACGUGCCAGCCGCAGC